UACGUAGGGCGCAAGCGUUGUCCGGAAUUAUUGGGCGUAAAGAGCUCGUAGGUGGCUUGUCACGUCGGGUGUGAAAGCUUGGGGCUUAACUCCAGGUCUGCAUUCGAUACGGGCUGGCUAGAGGUAGGUAGGGGAGAACGGAAUUCCUGGUGUAGCGGUGAGAUGCGCAGAUAUCAGGAGGAACACCGGUGGCGAAGGCGGUUCUCUGGGCCGAUACUGACGCUGAGGAGCGAAAGCGUGGGGAGCGAACAGG
rnacentral:rRNA from 1 species